UUCUUAUGUUCUUCCUCUGUUAAUCUUCAUUCCUGUGUCUAUCCUCUCCAAAGGUUUCCCUCACACCAGCCCAGACUCUGAUGACCAUUUGUGGACUCACCUUCUUGUUCCAAACUCCCUGUGGACUCCAGAUCAUUACCUCCACGACCGGCUUCCUCCUUUCUGCACUACCUGUCCGCCCAGCAUUACAGCCGUCAGAGCCCUCUGGAUUGCACCUUCGCUGCAGGCAAACAAACCACAAUUCAUUCUCCGGACAUCUCUCACUGCCUUCAUUCCCCACGGACCUCUCAUCCUCCUCGUCAUGGAUCAUGCUCCAAACAUCCAAGCUCCCAGUCUCCCCGCAUUGCUGUUUCCCUCCGGACCUGAAUUCUUACUCAUCACAAUUCAUUGUACAAUAAACCCUUUAACUGAU